AUGUCUCUUUAUACAUCAGUUAUUUGGUUGAUUCUUUCCAAGGAAGGCACCGAGAGGAAAGAUGGUCUCACUCGAUUUAUUUCUGCUACUUGCAGCUCUGCGAUUAGAGCUAUUGGCUCAGGCUGCGGGCUGCCUGGAUCCUGGAUGGGCAGGCCUAGAGGUGGGAAGGCCAAGGAAUCGAUGGAAGCUGCGAAGAACGAGGACGCGGGUAGCGCGGGUGAGGAGGUGAUCCCAGCCUACAAGAGGAGGGGACGGCCACAGAAGCUUUUCAAGCACGACGUCGAUGAGGAAGAGGAUGUCGCCAAGGUUGAAGACGACGGCGACGGCACAAAAGAAGAGAUUGCGCCACGCAGGGAGUCGACGGGCGCAGCUGGGAACGGAGGGAAGAAGAGGCGGCGACAGUCGAAGCGCGGCUCGGCGUCAGCGACGGAGGAGAAGGGCGGCGCGCCAGCGAGGGCACCGACCGGAUUCCGGCAGAAUGGGAGCCGGCGGAAGAACACCCCGCGGAGAGCUGCGGAGGCGGGGGUGGAGAGCAAGUGA
rnacentral:rRNA from 1 species